rnacentral:lncRNA from 13 species
UGAAAUUAUCUUAACUGUGUAAAUGAUUUCAAGGCUUCCCCAGCCAUGUGGAACUGUGAAAUGUCUUUCCUUUAUAAAUUACCCAGUUUUGGGUAUGUCUUUAUAGCAAUGUGAGAAUAUACUCAUACACUCAUGUGCCUAACAUUGUGGAUAAUUUAUAAAAGACUAUGCUGAAAUUAUCUUAAAACUGCCAGUUAUUUCCUAGUGAAUGCUCAUCUUUAUAAAGAAGUAAAAGGAAUUCAACAAAAGCAGAAUGUCAAUAGCACAGUCAGAUUACUCACUGUGGGCAAACUUCCCUAGUAGGUAAGAUCAACUCUGGCAGUUAUUUACUCUGAGGAACUAAAAUUGUAUUCUGGAAAUUUAUCAUAUUAGUGGUUCUAUUUCAAUGCUAUAAUUUGAGUAUGGAAUUUUUUCUGUAGACACUUAGUGUCCUUAAGUAAUCAAAUGAAAAAAUUCAAAUGAAUUUUCACAGGAAUCCCUGACAAAGCUCUAAUACUGAGAUCUACAAGUAACUUAAACAAAUUUACAGGAAAAAAAAAAAAACAUUAAAAAGUGGGCAAAGAACAUGAACAGACAAUUCUCAAAAGAAGACAUUUAUGUGGCUAACAAACAUAUAGAAAAACUCAACAUCAUUGAUCAUUAGAGAAAUGUAAAUCAAAACCACAAUGAGAUACCAUCUCAUGCCAGUGAGAAUGGUGGUUAUUAGAAAGUCAAGAAACAACAGAUGCUGAAGAAGAAAAUUAUUUCCUGAAAUAUUAAUGAAGAAUGUUCACUGGAGCUAAGAAAAAAGUUAACAAAGCAAUUAAGACUCAGAAAAUUGCAGAUAUCAAGUUUUCAUACAUAUUUGUUCCAUAUGAGACUUCCAAAAAAAUUCAGGAGUGCCAGUUCCAAGGGAGAUGAAGGAGUCCUGUGGGUGAUCAUGUUGACAGGAGGACUAACAAAAAUAUGUGAAAAGAAUCUUGGAUUUUCAGCUGGGAAACCUAGAAGAGAUCAUAGCCAGAGACUAUGCAUCACAUGCUGCCUUUGAAUUCAUGGCAAAAUAGAACGUCUGCAUUAAAGGAUCAACAUCUUCCAUUAAACUCCUGUGAUGUCACAACAAACUAGGACUGAAGAUCAGGGACCAGUUUGACAGGCUUUCAAAUGGACCUCCUGGAUAUGGGGAUAUAACGCAAUAGACAAGAAGGGAAUGAAAGACAGAGAGAAAAGACAAUGCUUGGAAAUAAAAAUGGUGGUGCCUUGAGGGAAGAGCA